AGGUAAGCUACUAAGAGCGAAUGGUGGAUGCCUUGGC
rnacentral:rRNA from 1 species